CCAAAAUGUGGAGAAGUGGAUUCCCAUUCUUGCGGGCUCCAGCGUGACUCUUGUCCAGCCCGGAAGCAUGCGCAGGAGCCCGUAGUCGCCGAGCUUCCUCCGCGGGUUCUUCCAUCCCUCCGCUGGAGAUCUGCGGGAUGUCCUGCGGCAUCGGGAAGUAAGAAAGGAGGUACCUCACAAGAGAUGGGGAGUGGCAAUGCCGAGUGCACAGGAGGAGGGUGGAAAAGUCAACCUGUGAAGCACCUGGUGUAUUAGAAGGCUUUCCUGGGAGAUCUGUUACACCAGGGACAGCAUAACCCCGGGAACUGCCCCGCUUGUCUGGCAUUUGGAGAAGACAGCUUGGGAGGGGCGCCCUGAGGAGAGCAGACCUUCUUCCAGCUCUGUUCCUGCCCUGACCCCGAGAAUGAUGGCGCGAGUGAGAUUGAAAAUAUUAUGAACCAACUCAUUGAUUUUGAGGAGUAUAUCUAAAGAUGUGAACAUAAAACGUGCAAAAGAAGUGAAAAUCAUCCCUGAUUCAGUCAACAAAUUUUAAUGGAGCCCCACUGUGUUUGAGUAACAGUG